rfam:Anas platyrhynchos breed Pekin duck contig205067, whole genome shotgun sequence.
ACUGGCAUAAUGAUGAAAUAAUGAUUUGCCGUUUACCCAUCUGACUGGUUAUUGAUGUGUAUCUUUAUAUCUGAAAUGCCAGU